rnacentral:tRNA from 1 species
AUCAGCGUAGCUCAAAGGAUAGAGCGCUUUGUUUCCUACAUAUCGGCAUCGCAAUGACAUGAUAUGGGCAAAGGGGUGUGUGGUUCAAGUCCCACCGCUGUUU